UACGGAGGGUGCAAGCGUUAUCCGGAUUCACUGGGUUUAAAGGGUGCGUAGGUGGCUUUGUAAGUCAGUGGUGAAAUCUUAGGGCUUAACUCUAAAACUGCCAUUGAUACUGCUUAGCUUGAAUCAAGUCGAGGUGGAUGGAAUAUUACAUGUAGCGGUGAAAUGCUUAGAUAUGUAAUAGAACACCGAUUGCGAAGGCAGUUCACUAGGCUUGUAUUGACACUGAGGCACGAAAGCGUGGGGAUCAAACAGG
rnacentral:rRNA from 1 species